AGUCUGGUAGAAGAGCAACUCGUGCAUAUUUACACGAAUAUAUCAAGAAACAAAACACGGAUCCAGUUUCACCCUCAGGAGUGACAGUGUUUCCAGAACCAGACGACAAGAACAUGAAGUUUGAAUUCCAAAGACAAAGACAAAGACAAAGACAAAGGAGACACUCGUCAUCUAGCAGUACAACUGGCAGUUAUAAAUCUCUCACAUCUGAGAUCACGCCUAUUGAUAUUGGUUAAUUUGUUCUAAUCUUGUAAACAUAGAAUAAUAUGGUAUAGUAUUGGUUGUACUAUAAAGAGAUAUGAGACUAUGGUGGAUAUUAUAUACAGGCCUUUGAAGGAGCAGAAUAUAAAAGCGCAUGACUGUUGUUCAACAAGUGUAUAACAAAAAUUUUAAGAACCCUUCUAGGCAUUCAUGAGAGCAAAUGCGCAUACCCUCCCAUGAAUUUAAGCCAAUUUCAAAAAUUUAUCUCGCGCAAAAAAAGUUCAGGAAAAAAUUGGAAACCUCAGCCCUAGUGUCCGCCAGUGCUGGUCGUCUGGAAGACUUUUAGUAGAAAAAUGCCAACGAAAUACUAACAUAAACUAAUCAGCUUAAUAAUGAUCAGAUCGAAAGAAAUUAUUCGAAUGAAAUUUUAGAUUAAGUUUAAUUUUUGUCUUAAAAAUGACAGUAUUCACUUUUUCCAUCAUACUGAUGAAAGGAAAGCCGUGAAUUGUCAGUUCUAAACCAUGGAAAAUAAUUAUCCCUUACUUGUUCCGUCUGUUCGGCAUACAAUAAUUCACCAGUAAAACUGCAUGAUUAAAACCAAUAGGAAAGGUAUUUCACCCCAGUUAAGAGAAUGUAUGUUAAUUAUAUACGUAUGCUGUACGUAUAACAGUGAAGGAGAUCAUGAAAGAAAUAUUUAUUACACUCACUGAUGAUUCGUGAUACCUGUGUAUCAUUUGAUAAACGAACAUAUGCUAGAUUGCACCAGCAUAUUUAUUCACAAUUAACCAUAUUUACACCAAUAAUAAUGAUACAUUUAUCAUGCACUCUACUGUGGUGUUAUUGGCAGAAAUAUACUACCAGAAACAUGCAGCUACUGUAUGUAUGUACUUUAAUUUACGUUGCCAUCCUUUUCUAAACUUUCAUAAUAACCACAGUGAGUGCUUAUAUUACUGUUUUUUACAAUAUGAAAAAUAAUUCAACUAAACUGAAC